GCGGGUUUAGCUCAGUUGGGAGAACGUCAGACUGAAGUAAAACUUCAACCCGUCAAUCCAGUUGAUAUCUGAAGGUCAUGUGUUCGAUCCACAUAAACCGCA